CACACGUGCUACAAUGGACAGAACAAAGGGCUGCGAGACCGGGUUAGCCAAUCCCACAAAUCUGUUCUCAGUUCGGAUCGCAGUCUGCAACUCGACUGCGUGAAGCUGGAAUCGCUAGUAAUCGCGGAUCAGCAUGCCGCGUGAAUACGUUCCCGGGCCUUGUACACACCGCCCGUCACACCACGAGAGUUUGCAACACCCGAAGUCGGUGAGGUAACCUUUAUGGAGCCAGCCGCCGAAGUGGGGGCAGAUGAUUGGGGGUGAAGUCGUAACAAGGUAGCCGUAUCGGAAGG
rnacentral:rRNA from 1 species